ACAGAGGAAUAUUCCGUCAGAUUUGACGGAAUAUUCCGUUAUCCCUAACAAUGUCAGAAUAUUCCGUUAAGUCUGACGAAAUAUUCUUUUUUCUUUUCCGGUGGACCUUCGCCGUUGUCACGUCCUUUUGGUUUGUCGGAAACUGGAGAAUUUGGCCGGAUUCUGGAAAAAUUUCAAACCUUCAUAACUUCUUCACUUCUCAACCAUUUUUGACAAACUUUAUAUGGAAAUGAAGCUUAGGAAGAGGAGAAUAAGGUUGUACUUUUCAAAAGCCUCGAAAUAUUCAGACUUAUUUUCUUUGCCUUGAAACCGUGUGUUUCCACGCCAACUCGACUUCAAACCUAGGCUAUUGACUCUAGGGAGUUGUGUGGAGGCUUCCAAACAUCCCAAAAGCUUGUAAUUCAACCGGGAACACGUCGGGGAAAACUCGUCCGAGUCGGAGCUUCCGAGUUGGGUGUUCAAAACUCAACCAUUUUAUGAUCGGUUUAUACAGUUGGGUUCGUGAAGAUGAAAGGAGUGUGAUGGUGGUGGUUGCAAGCCCAAUCUGUGAGAUUUGAUGGUGGUGUUUGGUUAUUGUAAAGAGGAAAGGGUCUCGGGAUAGAGAGAGAAGGAGAAGAUGAGAGAGAGAGAGAAAGAAGGUGAGUUCUGAUUGGCUAAGAAGAAGAAAAAUUUGAUUGGGUGUGGGACAAACUCUAAUU
rnacentral:lncRNA from 1 species